AUGACAAACACAGAGGGAAAGAAGAGAGGCACCCGAUGUGUGUUCUCUAGGCCUUUUAAAAACAUAGAGCUGUUUCUUUGGCCACAUGCAUAGGAAUCGAUAAGAAAGGUGAUAUUACAGACAUCAAGGGAAUGGAUACUGUUUAAAAAGGAAUGUCCUGCAAGUAUUUCCAUGGCAAAACUGGAAGAGUCUACAAUGUUACCCAGCAUGCCAUUCAUUGGCAUUGCUAUAAACAAACAAGCUAAGGGCAAGAUUCUUGCCAAGGGAAUUAAUGUGUGUAUUGAGCACAUUAAGCACUGUAAGACCUGGGAUAGCUUCCUGAAAUGCGUGAAGAAAAUGAUAAGAAAAAGAAGGACGCCAAAGAGAAAGGUACCUGGGUUCAAGUGAAGUACCAGCCUGCUCCACCUAGAGAAGCACACUUUGAGAGCUAGUGGAAUGGAGCCUAGCCUGCUGGAACCUAUUCCCUAUGGAUUCAUGGCA
rnacentral:lncRNA from 1 species